rnacentral:rRNA from 1 species
CGGAAUAACUCAGGGAAAUUUUCCCCCAUACCGUAUGUGCCCCCCUUUAAAAUUUCAGGAUACAUAAAAUGCCCUGGCAUUUUAUGGGGGGGAAAGAUUUAUCGGCAAAGGAUGAGCCCGCGUUGGAUUAGCUAGUUGGUGGGGUAAAGGCCCACCAAGGCGACGAUCCAUAGCUGGUCUGAGAGGAUGAUCAGCCACACUGGGACUGAGACACGGCCCAGACUCCUACGGGAGGCAGCAGUGGGGAAUAUUGGACAAUGGGCGCAAGCCUGAUCCAGCCAUGCCGCGUGAGUGAUGAAGGCCCUAGGGUUGUAAAGCUCUUUCACCGGUGAAGAUAAUGACGGUAACCGGAGAAGAAGCCCCGGCUAACUUCGUGCCAGCAGCCGCGGUAAUACGAAGGGGGCUAGCGUUGUUCGGAUUUACUGGGCGUAAAGCGCACGUAGGCGGACUUUUAAGUCAGGGGUGAAAUCCCAGAGCUCAACUCUGGAACUGCCUUUGAUACUGGAAGUCUUGAGUAUGGUAGAGGUGAGUGGAAUUCCGA